rnacentral:rRNA from 1 species
UUAGAGUUUGAUCAUGGCUCAGAACGAACGCUGGCGGCGUGGAUAAGACAUGCAAGUCGGACGAGAUUUUUCGUUGUAGCAAUACGAUGGAAAGUCUAGUGGCGAACGGGUGCUUAACACGUGGGCAACCUGCCAAGAAGUGGGGGAUAGCUCGCCGAAAGGCGAAUUAAUACCGCAUGUGAUUAGAGGAGACAUCUUUUCAAAAUUAAAGUCGGGGCAACCUGACGCUUCUUGUGGGGCCCGCGGCCUAUCAGCUUGUUGGUGAGGUAACGGCUCACCAAGGCUUUGACGGGUAGCUGGUCUGAGAGGACGACCAGCCACACUGGGACUGAGACACGAGCUAGACACCUACGGGUGGCAGCAGUCGAGAAUUUUUGACAAUGGGGGAAACCCUGAUCGAGCGACGCCGCGUGGAGGAUGAAGGUCUUCGGAUUGUAAACUCCUGUCAUUGGGGAACAAUGCACAGAUAUUAACUGUAUUUGUGUUGAUAGUACCCGAAGAGGAAGAGACGGCUAACUCUGUGCCAGCAGCCGCGGUAAUACAGAGGUCUCAAGCGUUGUUCGGAUUCAUUGGGCGUAAAGGGUGCGUAGGCGGCGCGGUAAGUCGGGUGUGAAAUCUCGGGGCUUAACUCCGAAACUGCAUUCGAUACUGCCGUGCUUGAGGACUGGAGAGGAGACUGGAAUUUACGGUGUAGCGGUGAAAUGCGUAGAUAUCGUAAGGAAGACCAGUGGCGAAGGCGGGUCUCUGGACAGUUCCUGACGCUGAGGCACGAAGGUCAGGGGAGCAAACGGGAUUAGAUACCCCGGUAGUCCUGACAGUAAACGGUGCACGUUUGGUGUGGGAGGAUUCGACCCCUUCUGCGCCGGAGCUUAC